rnacentral:rRNA from 1 species
GUAGGGAAUCUUCCACAAUGGACGAAAGUCUGAUGGAGCAACGCCGCGUGAGUGAAGAAGGUCUUCGGAUCGUAAAACUCUGUUGUUAGAGAAGAACGUGCGUGAUAGUAACUGAUCAUGUAAUGACGGUAUCUAACCAGAAAGCCACGGCUAACUACGUGCCAGCAGCCGCGGUAAUACGUAGGUGGCAAGCGUUGUCCGGAUUUAUUGGGCGUAAAGGGAACGCAGGCGGUUUUUUAAGUCUGAUGUGAAAGCCUUCGGCUUAACCGAAGAAUAGCAUUGGAAACUGGAAGACUUGAGUGCAGAAGAGGAGAGUGGAAUUCCAUGUGUAGCGGUGAAAUGCGUAGAUAUAUGGAGGAACACCAGUGGCGAAAGCGGCUCUCUGGUCUGUAACUGACGCUGAGGUUCGAAAGCGUGGGUAGCAAACAGGAUUAGAAACCCUAGUAGUCC